AUUGAACGCUGGCGGCAGGCCUAACACAUGCAAGUCGAACGAGUGGCGGACGGGUGAGUAAUGUCUGGGAAACUGCCUGAUGGAGGGGGAUAACUACUGUAAACGGUAGCUAAUACCGAAUACCAUAGGAUUUGCCCAGAUGGGAUUAGCUAGUAGGUGGGGUAAAGGCUCACCUAGGAGACGAUCCCUAGCUGGUCUGAGAGGAUGACCGGCCACACGGGAAAUGAGACACGGUCCAGACUCCUACGGGAGGCAGCAGUGGGGAAUAUUGCACAAUGGGCGAAAGCCGGAUGCAGCCAGGCCGCGUGAAUGAAGAAGGCCUUCGGGUUGUAAAGUACUGUCAUCGGGGAGGCGUUACCCGCAGAAGAAGCACCGGCUAACUCCGUGCCAGCAGCCGCGGUAAUAC
rnacentral:rRNA from 1 species